rnacentral:rRNA from 1 species
UACGAGGGGGGCAAGCGUUGUUCGGAAUUAUUGGGCGUAAAGGGUGCGUAGGCGGUUUGGUAAGUCUUAUGUGAAAUCUACAGGCUCAACUUGUAGUCUGCAUGAGAAACUGCCGGGCUUGAGUAUGGGAGAGGUGAGUGGAAUUCCUGGUGUAGCGGUGAAAUGCGUAGAUAUCAGGAGGAACACCUGUGGCGAAAAGCGGCUCACUGGACCAUAACUGACGCUGAUGCACGAAAAGCUAGGGGAGCAAACAGG